CUCCUUGACAUAAGGAAUAUUAGCGUGCAGCGCAUCAGUGGGGAUUUGUCAUCAGCACAGUACUCAUCCACGACUUGUAGGUCAUAGUGGGAUGUGGAACCUUCUAGGGGAUCAAUUAUCUGUUGGCUAGAGGAGGUGUGUGACAAACUUGGAUAUUUAGCCUGGUGCCUUGCCUUUACUGGCUGAGGCACUGUUGCCCUUCCAGGGAUGUUUGUGCGGAGCCCAUUCAUGGUCAGAUCCAUUAUGUGAAUCACCCUUUGUGAAUAACUGGGGUCACCCAAUGUUAAAAGGGGGUCACC